rfam:Carnobacterium maltaromaticum LMA28 complete genome
GGUUAAGUUAAUAAGGGCGCACGGUGGAUGCCUUGGCACUAAGAGCCGAUGAAGGACGGGGACUAACUCCGAUAUGCUUUGGGGAGCUGUAAGUAAGCUUUGAUCCAAAGAUUUCCGAAUGGGGGAACCCAGCAUUUUUUAUAGAAUGUUACUGCUAGCUGAAUACAUAGGCUAGUAGAGGUAGACGCAGAGAACUGAAACAUCUAAGUACCUGCAGGAAGAGAAAGAAAAUUCGAUUCCCUGAGUAGCGGCGAGCGAAACGGGAAGAGCCCAAACCAAAGAGCUUGCUCUUUGGGGUUGUAGGACACGACAUUAAGAGUCAUAAAUGAGUUUUGUAGAAGAAGCGAUCUGGAAAGGUCCGCCGAAGAGGGUAAAAGCCCCGUAAUCGAAACAAAGUUCACUCUGUUGUGUAUCCUGAGUACGGCGGAACACGAGAAAUUCCGUCGGAAUCCGCGGGGACCAUCCCGCAAGGCUAAAUACUCCUUAGUGACCGAUAGUGAACCAGUACCGUGAGGGAAAGGUGAAAAGAACCCCGGAAGGGGAGUGAAAGAGCUCCUGAAACCGUGUGCUUACAAAUAGUUAGAGCCCGUUAAUGGGUGAUAGCGUGCCUUUUGUAGAAUGAACCGGCGAGUUACGAUUACAUGCGAGGUUAAGUUGAUAAGACGGAGCCGUAGCGAAAGCGAGUCUGAAUAGGGCGAAUGAGUAUGUGGUCGUAGACCCGAAACCAAGUGACCUACCCAUGUCCAGGUUGAAGGUGCGGUAAUACGCACUGGAGGACCGAACCCACGUAUGUUGAAAAAUGCGGGGAUGAGGUGUGGGUAGCGGAGAAAUUCCAAUCGAACUUGGAGAUAGCUGGUUCUCUCCGAAAUAGCUUUAGGGCUAGCCUCGGAAUUAAGAAUCAUGGAGGUAGAGCCACUGUUUGGACUAGGGGCCCUUCUAGGGUUACCGAAUUCAGAUAAACUCCGAAUGCCAUUGAUUUAUAUCCGGGAGUCAGACUGCGAGUGAUAAGAUCCGUAGUCGAAAGGGAAACAGCCCAGACCACCAGCUAAGGUCCCAAAGUUACUAUUAAGUGGAAAAGGAUGUGGGGUUGCUUAGACAACUAGGAUGUUGGCUCAGAAGCAGCCAUCAUUUAAAGAGUGCGUAAUAGCUCACUAGUCGAGUGACCCUGCGCCGAAAAUUUACCGGGGCUAAAUAGUACACCGAAGCUGUGGAUAGAACCUUAGGGUUCUAUGGUAGGAGAGCGUUCUAAGGGCGUCGAAGCUAGACCGUGAGGACUAGUGGAGCGCUUAGAAGUGAGAAUGCCGGUAUGAGUAGCGAAAGACGGGUGAGAAUCCCGUCCACCGUAUGACUAAGGUUUCCUGGGGAAGGCUCGUCCUCCCAGGGUUAGUCGGGACCUAAGCCGAGGCCGAUAGGCGUAGGCGAUGGACAACAGGUUGAUAUUCCUGUACCAGUUUCUUUUGUUUGAACAAUGGAGGGACGCAGGAGGCUAAGAAAUGCGCACUGUUGGAUAUGUGCGUCUAAGCAAUGAGUCUUGAGGUGAGUUAAAUGCUUGCUUCUGUACGGACAAGUUGUGAUGGGGAGGGAAAUUACAGUACCGAAGUUUCUGAUGUCACACUGCCAAGAAAAGCUUCUAGUUAGAAAGAAAUUGCCCGUACCGCAAACCGACACAGGUAGUCGAGGAGAGUAUCCUAAGGUGUGCGAGAGAACUCUCGUUAAGGAACUCGGCAAAAUGACCCCGUAACUUCGGGAGAAGGGGUGCUGAUCGAAAGAUCAGCCGCAGUGAAUAGGCCCAAGCGACUGUUUAUCAAAAACACAGGUCUCUGCAAAAUCGAAAGAUGACGUAUAGGGGCUGACGCCUGCCCGGUGCUGGAAGGUUAAGAGGAUUGGUUAGCUUCGGCGAAGCUAAGAAUUGAAGCCCCAGUAAACGGCGGCCGUAACUAUAACGGUCCUAAGGUAGCGAAAUUCCUUGUCGGGUAAGUUCCGACCCGCACGAAAGGCGUAACGAUUUGGGCACUGUCUCAACGAGAGACUCGGUGAAAUUAUAGUACCUGUGAAGAUGCAGGUUACCCGCGACAGGACGGAAAGACCCCAUGGAGCUUUACCUUCUCGAGGUUUGUGUGGUGGACCCCUUUAAAAUGUCCAAGCCCCCCCUUUUUGUGAGGGGGGGCCCCUUGGUGGGGAUUAUUCCCCCCUUGUUUUUUAGACCCUCUUUUAAACCCCCCCCCCUAUAUCUGGGGGGGGGAGAACCUUUUCAGGGGGGGCGGUUUGGGUUGGGGGCGUUGCCCUCUUAAAAAAUAAAAGGGAGGCGGUCCUAAUGUUUCCUUAAGAAUGGUUGGAAAUCAUUUGGUAGGAUGAUAAAGGCAGUAAUGGAACUUGACUUCGAAGACCUUCAAAGUCGAGCAGGUAUGAAAUGUCGGGUUUUAGUGAUCCGGUGGUUCAGGAUGGAAGGGCCAUCGCUCAACGGAUAAAAGCUGCCCUGGGGAUAACAGGCUUAUCUCCCCUCAAGAGUCCACAUCGACGGGGAGGUUUGGCACCUCGAUGUCGGCUCAUCGCAUCCUGGGGCUGUAGUCGGUCCCAAGGGUUGGGCUGUUCGCCCAUUAAAGCGGUACGCGAGCUGGGUUCAGAACGUCGUGAGACAGUUCGGUCCCUAUCCGUCGCGGGCGCAGGAAAUUUGAGAGGAGCUGUCUUUAGUACGAGAGGACCGGGAUGGACACACCGCUGGUGUACCAGUUGUUCUGCCAAGAGCAUCGCUGGGUAGCUAUGUGUGGAAGGGAUAAACGCUGAAAGCAUCUAAGCGUGAAGCCCCCCUCGAGAUGAGAUUUCCCAUCACGUAAGUGAGUAAGACCCCUGAGAGAUGAUCAGGUAGAUAGGUUGGAAGUGGAAGUACAGCGAUGUAUGGAGCGGACCAAUACUAAUCGGUCGAGGACUUAACCAA